rnacentral:rRNA from 1 species
GACAGAGGGUGCAAACGUUGUUCGGAUUUACUGGGCGUAAAGCGUGUGUAGGCGGCUUCGCAAGUUGGAUGUGAAAUCCCACGGCUCAACCGUGGACGUGCAUCCAAAACUGCGUCGCUGGAGUCUCGGAGAGGAAGGUGGAAUGCUUGGUGUAGAGGUGAAAUUCGUAGAUAUCAAGCAGAACACCUGCGGCGAAGGCGGCCUUCUGGACGAUGACUGACGCUGAGACGCGAAAGCGUGGGGAGCAAACAGG